GGCUUACAAAACACCAACACAUGGAAGAUAAUAUCAUAGGAUAAAUUGGUCCAUUCGUUUGAUCAAACAAAGUUUAAAGAAAAUCAAGCGAUACGCGUAGAUCCACAUAAAAAUGACCUAAAUACCUCACUUUUAAGCUAUGUUGCCGGGUAGUUAAAUAAGCAAAGCUCAUGUUCAAGUAAUUUUCGUUUUCUGGAGAUUGAUCCAAGGGGAUGUAUAUAUAGGCCCUAUAACAGAGCAAGAAAUGUCCAAUAUUACAUGUUCAAUUGCAAAGCAUGUUAAAACAAGAGAGGGAUAGGCCAUCCAAUUUUCCCGAUGAGAAAACCUCUAGCGCGAAGUAAUAGUAUGAAAAUCCCGGCUCACAAACAUAAGCAUACCAUCAUCAGUGUGUCAUUACCACAGUCAUGCUCGUUUUUGGUCAAUUGGCUAAGAAACGAUCCGUGGUGGAAUGGGUGAAGCAGUGCCUUGUCGUUGGUGUUGGCGAUCUUAAGAGGGGAGAACACCAGUAUACUUGUCAACAAACACCGUGUAUAUCGCUAGCACGACUUAGUUCCAUCCCGCUGUCCUUCUUCAUCCAUGUGGUUGCCUUCCUU